rnacentral:rRNA from 1 species
AACGAACGCUGGCGGCAUGCCUAACACAUGCAAGUCGAACGAGACCUUCGGGUCUAGUGGCGCACGGGUGCGUAACGCGUGGGAACCUGCCCUUAGGUUCGGAAUAACUCCCCGAAAGGGGUGCUAAUACCGGAUAAUGUCCUCGGACCAAAGGUUUAUCGCCCUUGGAUGGGCCUGCGUUGGAUUAGCUAGUUGGUAGGGUAAAAGCCUACCAAGGCGACGAUCCAUAGCUGGGUUGAGAGGCUGAUCAGCCACACUGGGACUGAGACACGGCCCAGACUCCUACGGGAGGCAGGAGUGGGGAAUAUUGGACAACGGGGGGAAUGCUGAACCAGCAAUGCCGGGUGAGUGAUGAAGGCCUUAGGGUUGUAAAGCUCUUUUACCCGGGAUGAUAAUGACAGUACCGGGAGAAUAAGCUCCGGCUAACUCCGUG